rnacentral:snRNA from 1 species
GUAUCCUCUCAGGCCUAUUGGCUAAGAUCAAGCGUAGUAUCUGUUCUUUCUAGCGUGACAGCUAGGAGGCUCCCCAUCGGGGGGCCCUGUCUGUCAUGUAAUCUUUGGACCCUUGUUGGGGCUUGCUCCAAGUUCUGUUGCGGAUGUCGCUCGUAUUGUACUGUCUCGAGCUGACAUCCAUGGACC